ACGCUCGACACCUACGGGAGGCAGCAGUCGGGAAUAUUGCGCAAUGGAGGAAACUCUGACGCAGUGACGCCGCGUAUAGGAAGAAGGUUUUCGGAUUGUAAACUAUUGUCGUUAGGGAAGAAAAAAGACAGUACCUAAGGAGGAAGCUCCGGCUAACUACGUGCCGGCAGUCGCGGUAAUCUGAGCGGGCUGGCAAGGC
rnacentral:rRNA from 1 species